CGGAGGCUCCGUCCCAAAAUUCUUGUUUUUGAUUUGUCUAAAUAUGAAUGUAUCUAGUCAUGUGUUAGUAUUUAGAUACAUCUAUUUCUAAACAAAAGUAAGACAAGAAUUUUAGGACGGAUGGAGUAUAUA
rnacentral:pre_miRNA from 1 species